rnacentral:misc_RNA from 1 species
GAUGAAGAACGCAGCGAAAUGCGAUAAGUAGUGUGAAUUGCAGAAUUCAGUGAAUCAUCGAAUCUUUGAACGCACAUUGCGCCCCUUGGUAUUCCAUGGGGCAUGCCUGUUCGAGCGUCAUUUGUACCUUCAAGCUUUGCUUGGUGUUGGGUGUUUGUCCAUUCUCUUGCAGAGGGACUCGCCUUAAAGUAAUUGGCAGCCAGUGUUUUGGUUUUGAAGCGCAGCACAAGUCGCGAUUCAAAGCUAUACGCCCGCUUCCACAAGCCUUUUUCACUUUUGACCUCGGAUCAGGUAGGGAUACCCGCUGAACUUAAGCAUAUCAAUAAGCGGGGA